AAUAUAAAAAUUUAUUUUAAAAGCAAUCAAAAUCCACACAGUGUAGUCAUUAAAAUCAGUGAGUGAAGCAAAGUGAACAAAGGAGGGACAGGUGUUUUAAGAAAAGGUCCCUGUCAGCUACAGAGCUGGAAUGGAAGAGCACAGGGGGAGAACAGCACAGGAGAAUGUGACUCCAAGUGAGAAAACUGCUCUUGUUAGUACAUAAGUUGGUCUCCCCAGGCUGUCUACUCUCCUUUACCUCUCUGUUUGUUGGGGCUCAUUAUUUCUGUUCUGUUGUUGAUGAUAGCUUCUACACAGAGGGUAAGAGUAACUGCUGAAAAACUGCUAGUGUGGAGGUCAGCUGGGAAACUCGGUUAGUAAUCCCAGAGUAAGGCAAUGGAGAUCUGAAUUUGUGAAAUGUCUGAAUAUGGCAAACGAGGGAAGGAUCUGAGGCCACUGAGAGGAAAUAGAUAGGCGUUUAGCAACUGCUAACCAUGCAGAUUUUCAUUAAGCCUGUGAUGUGGACAACAGAGCAUAUUCAAGCAAUCCUCUUACUAACACGCAAUUGGCUCACACAAUUAUAAGGACUGAGAAGUCCCAGGAUCUGAAGUCAGUAAGCUGGAGAUCCAGGGAAAAGAUCUGAGAACCAAGAGACCUAAUGGUGUGAGUUCCAGUCUGAAAGCUGGCAGAUUUGAGACUCAAGAAGAGGUGACCUUUAGCUCAAAUCCAAAGGUAAGAAAAAACUGAUGUCACAAACGAAAGCAGUGAGGCUGGAGGAAUCCCUUCUUAUUCACAAAGUGUCAGGUUUUUUGUUCUACUCAGCCUUUCAACUGAUUGGGUUAGGCUCACCCACACUCAAAAGGGCAGUCUGCUUUACCAGUCUACUGACUCAGAUAUUAAUCUCCCCACAAAACAUCCUCCCAGUCAUACUUAGAAAAAUAUUUGACCAAAUAUCUGAGUAUCCUUUGGCCCAGUCAAGUU
rnacentral:lncRNA from 10 species